CCUACGGGAGGCUGCAGUGAGGAAUAUUGGUCAAUGGGCGCUAGCCUGAACCAGCGAAGUAGCGUGAAGGAUGGCUGCCCUAGGGGUGGUAAACUUCUUUUAUAUGGGAGUAAAGUGCAGGUUGUAUACUGCUUUGCAUGUACCUUAUGAAUAAGGAUCGGCUAAAUCCGUGCCAGCAGCCGCGGUAAUACGGAGGAUCCGCGCGUUAUCCGGAUUUAGUGGGUUUAAAGGGAGCUUAGGCGGGUUGUUAAGUCAGUUGUGAACGUUUGCGGCUCAACCGUAAGAUUGCAUUUGAUACUGGCAUCCUUGAGUACAGUAGAGGUAGGUGAAAUUCGUGGUGUAGCGGUGAAAUGCGUAGAUAUCACGAAGAACUCCGAUUGCGAAGGCAGCCUGCUGGACUGUAACUGACGCUGAUGCUCGAAAGUGUGGGUAUCAAACAGGAUUAGAUACCCUUGUAGUC
rnacentral:rRNA from 1 species